UGAGUCGCCAGAUUUCCUAUCCAAAAUCUCAGCAAAAACAAGAGGUGCUCACCCACAACCAGAGAAAAGUGAAGGACAAGUCAAAAGCCCUUACCAAGCUAACAAUCUACAGAGAAAUCUUAAAAACAUUUACAAGAACCACAGCUAAAGAAUCCAAGACAGCCACAAAGUGCUAGGUGCUGGAUAAAAGCCACCACAUCCUGGAAUAUGAGCUAAACUCCCUUGGCCACCAGUGCUAUAAGACCCAAGCAAAUAGAUCGUAAACAAAGAGCUCAAAGCACCAAGCUCUUAAACAGAAGGAAUAAAACUGAAGGACCAUGAUGAGAAGGGACAGGUCCCCCAGGUGUACCUGAGUGCUGAACUCGUUCCCACCACAUCAAAAGUCAUGGCACAGCCCCUAAUUCCAAUUGCUGAAACAUUUUAACAGCUGGGAAUUAAAAUAAGCUGUCAGCCAGCUCAAAAAGAUUUUUUAAU
rnacentral:lncRNA from 1 species